rnacentral:lncRNA from 1 species
AAUAAAUAAAAUAAAAUAAAAUAAAGAGCCGUUAACAAUGAAGGUGGACCCUCGUAUGUGAGAGUGGAGUAACAAAGACAGCUGAAAAGUGAUGUAAAAAAAAAAUAACCAAUUUUUGGACUGAUUUUACAAGCGCUAAAUGUUUAAUAUUACAGCUCAAGCCCAAUCACCAGCAACAGCUUGGAGGCGCUCCUUAAAGCUCCAAACUCAACAAUCAAUCUGGAUUAUAAGUCGAAGUGAGAGUACAAGGGAAGCGUUGUAACGUAUAAAAAGCAAAAAGGAUACAAGUUUUCNGCUUCGGCUUCAGGGAGCAC